CUGGUUGAUUCUGCCAGUAGUCAUAUGCUUGUCUCAAAGAUUAAGCCAUGCAUGUCUAAGUUUAAGCGUUUAGUACAGCAAGACUGCGGAUGGCUCAUUAAAUCAGUUAUAGUUUAUUUGAUGGUCAAUUUACUACAUGGAUAACCGUGGUAAUUCUAGAGCUAAUACAUGCGUAAAGUCCUAACUACCAGCAAUGGUCGGAAGGGAUGUAUUUAUUAGAUUAAAAACCAAUACUGGGUUUCGGCUCAGUCCUUAUGGUGAUUCAUAAUAACUUCAGCGGAUCGCAUUAUACCCUUCGGGGUGGCGACGGUUCAUUCAAAUUUCUGCCCUAUCAACUUUGGAUGGUAGUAUAGAGGACUACCAUGGUGAUAACGGGUAACGGAAAAUAAGGGUUCGAUUCCGGAGAGGGAGCCUGAGAAAUGGCUACCACUUCUAAGGAAGGCAGCAGGCGCGCAAAUUACCCAAUCCCGACACGGGGAGGUAGUGACAAUAAAUAACAAUACAGGUCUUUUUAAAAGUCGUGUAAUUGGAAUGAGAGCAAUGUAAACAUCUCAGCGAGUAACAAUUGGAGGGCAGGUCUGGUGCCAGCAUCCGCGGUAAUUCCAGCUCCAAUAGCGUAUACUAAAGUUGUUGCAGUUAAAGAGCUUAGUUGGAUCUUAGAGUACUUUUUAAAGCGUCCGGUCCGCUCGUCAAGAGUGUGUACUGAUGCUGGUGCUCUUACAAUAUUUCCGGUUUUCACCUCUGUUAUUCAGUUAAUGGAGGAAUCCUGAAUCCGGAACGUUUACUUUGAAAAAAUUAGAGUGUUCAAAGCAGGCAAGUUAUGUCAUUGAAUAGUUCAGCAUGGGAUAAUAGAAUAGGACCACGUUCUUAUUUUGUUGGUUUUCGAGGAUGUGGUAAUGAUUAAUAGGAACGGUCGGGGGCAUUGGUAUUUAGUUGUCAGAGGUGAAAUUCUUAGAUUUACGAAAGACCAACACAGGCGAAAGCAUUUGCCAAGGACGUUUUCAUUAAUCAAGAACGAAAGUUUGGGGAUCGAAGACGAUCAGAUACCGUCGUAGUCCAAACCAUAAACUAUGCCGACCAAGGAUCGAUGGAAGUUACAUGGAUGACUCCAGCGGCACUUUGUGAGAAAUCAUAAGUGUUUGGGUCCUGGGGGGAGUAUGGUCACAAGGCUGAAACUUAAAGAAACUGACGGAAGGGCACACCAGAUGUGGAACCUGCGGCUUAAUUUGACCCAACACGGGAAAACUCACCAGGUCCGGACAUAGUAAGGAUUGACAGAUUGAGAGCUCUUUCUUGAUUCUAUGGGUGGUGGUGCAUGGCCGUUCUUAGUUCGUGGAGUGAUUCGUCUGGUUAAUUCCGAUAACGAACGAGACCUCAACCUGCUAACUAGUCAUACUAACCCUGCUAUCCAAAACCAAUGGUUAAGUG
rnacentral:rRNA from 1 species